CAACGCGGCCUCUGUUGACGACCUCUGAACGAACGAUGUAAAUUCAGCACCACGUCACAGAACACGUAGCGUACCAGCAGUAGCCGCAGAAAGUCGUCGCCAAAGAACUGCAGUACGCUGGUCUCUGUAAAUUACAAGAUCAUGGGUCGCGCAGAGUCGGUGGCACAUCCUGCGGCGACAUCAGCACCAUCAGGGGCUGGCCGAAGUAGCGCGGUAUCUGCUGGAACACGAAGCUGUUGUCCGAGUCGACGACGACGAAGAGUGGCUUCCUGGUGAACGGAUAGAGAUCGCCCGGGUACAGGCAAUGCGGCUCCUUGCCACCGGCCGGCCUCUUCCCAUGCUCGGGAUCCCUCUUGCUGCACGUGGACACGCCACCCAGGUCGUACCCCACUGUAGGAUCGCAAGAUUUUAUCAACAUCGUGCAAUUCUGCGUUCGCCGAGCCGUCAGAUGGAUGUCGGGCAACUUUGAGGAAAUCUCGAAAUUCUGUCCAUGUUUAUUUGUCAGCGAGAUAUUUCGUAUCGAGAUUUAAAAACGAUAUAUAUUCUGACUGAUCUUCCAUCAGCAAAUGUUUCAGUCAUCUUAUCUACAAAACUUUUAAAUGUUUGAUAUUUAAAUAUUAUUGAUAACACAUACCGACAAAAAAAAUUUUUGUCAAGUAACUCUAAUCAGAAUAGGUGCUUCUGAUAGAUUUUCGGCCACAAAAAACAAUGUCGCUGUCCAAAUUGCUCCGCAUCAUGUCAGAUUUUAAAAUUAUUUUGAAUUUUAGGAGUGAGAAAUCAGCAAUUUUUCAUUUCAAAAUUCACGAUAACUGAUGGAGCAAUUGUUUUUUGUGGCCAAAAAUUUAUAAAAAAAAAACAUUACUUUGAUUAGAGUUACUUAACAAGAAUUUUUUUGUCGUCCUGUAAUUAAUGGUCAAAAAUUAGAAAUAAAAGAAAUGAAUUUAAUUAAAUCACAAAAGAUUUUGACUUUGUGUGUGUGUAUAUAUAUAUAUAUUACUUAAUUUUGUAUUGACACUCUAUAGUUUCGUGACAAAUUCACUUGAAUGACAAAUGCAUAAAAUUAUAUGCAAUCUCGUUAUCAAUAUUUCAUUUAAAAAUUUCAAUUGUUCGUAAAUAAUUAUUUAUGUCUUUCCCCAAAGUUGCCAUCAUUCAUCGCGACAUAUAUUUUAAUUCCAAGCCUAAGUAAAGGUUUUAUAAUUUUCCAAAGAGCAAUUGCGUUAAUAAACAAAAGCCGAGGAAUUCAUUCCGCAUUAUUUAUGUUACCAAUUAUUGUAAUCGAUAGACUCGUCUUUCUAAUACAUUGAUAUUGAUUGCAAAGCUAAAUUCGCCAUGAUACGAAUCUUUAUUACGAAAUAACCUUGAUACUAGGACGCGCUAUUCCAUUUUCCUUUAAAGACCUUGGUUGCAACUAGCGGCGACUGAUAUACAACCUUGAUCUAAGCAAUAUGUAAUCCUAGUCUAAAUUGCAAUCGACAAAAGUUGCGCAUGACAUGCGGAUAAAUGGUUCCUAAGUGACUUUAUUUUACUUUUAUCAACAUAGAUAAUGCGCAAAUUUUAUGAAAUAGAAUAAUUAAGUAGACGCAAUAAUUGAAAAGAUAGCAUAUACAUUUUCCAUAAUAACAAAAAUUUCUCUCGAGACUUGAGGUUUAUCGCAAUAUCAAAUCGUCAAUAGUUAAAAAUAACGUUAAUAUAUCUUUUAAGAAAUCUGUUUUUUUUUACGCCUAGAUUCAUACGUAUUUUUUCACAAGUGAUUUCAAACAUUUUUAGAAAAUGUCAUAACAAAAUAUAUAAUAAAUAAACAAUAAUAAACAUAAUAAAUAAACACAAAUAAAUAAACUCGAGAUCACGAUGAGUAUUUCAUUAUAAUUAGCAUCAUUGUCAGUCAAUAACCGAAAUAUAUAUCUCUCAUCGUGAAAUCACGAUGAAAAUAAGACGGUUAAAUAAAAAUACGCUAAUUAUAUCUCGUAAAAGAUUUUUUACUUUCUUGAUAAAAAGCGACGAUAGCGACAAAUACAAAAAAAAAAAAAAAAAAAUUGUUUAAAAAUUCUUGUGAGAAAAAUC